UACGUAGGGGGCAAGCGUUGUCCGGAUUUAUUGGGCGUAAAGAGCGUGUAGGCGGCUGGGUAGGUCCGUUGUGAAAACUCGAGCUCAACCUCGAGACGCCGAUGGAAACCCUCCAGCUAGAGUCCGGAAGAGGAGAGUGGAAUUCCUGGUGUAGCGGUGAAAUGCGCAGAUAUCAGGAAGAACACCUAUGGCGAAGGCAGCUCUCUGGGACGGUACUGACGCUGAGACGCGAAAGCGUGGGGAGCGAACAGG
rnacentral:rRNA from 1 species